rnacentral:lncRNA from 1 species
CCCACCUGCAGGGAAGAGAAAAAGGCAGUGAGCAGUGAGUGUGGUGCAGGGUUAGGAGCAGGCCCUCAGCAUCCUCAUGCUCAGUGCAUGGGAAACCUGGUACCUUGUUCUGCUCAGGCACACGGAAGCCCAGCCCCAUCUUUUCUCCACACAGGUUGUGAUAGGCAGGCGCCCUCCUAAUUUUACUCCACAAGGCCUUAUGUCAGGAAUCCUUAAGAGGCAAUGCUCCCUGCCUCCCAUCCACUUCAGGCAGCUCUAAUGCGGGACAGAGCACUGGGUCCCAGCCCAGGACCCUACUGGCUAUCUGGGUGACCCGGAGCAGGGCAGUUUUGAGCCUCAGUCCUCUAGCCUCAGAAAUGGAAGGCACUGGGAAGAUGACAACAGUCUAAGUGGUGAUGAAGGCGCUUGGCAGGAAGAAAGCACCGGAAGUGCAAAGUAAAGGAGGCCACUUUAGGGAGAGCUAACAUGCACCUCCCUCCUGCCCCGGGGACAUUCCAUCCUCUGGAAUGAAAAUGGAGAUCCUAAGGCCCGAAACCCGGUAUCUCUUACUAGUGGAGCAGGAGCACUUGGGGUACAUUUCGAGCCGAGGUGGUCGCGUUAUCCUCAUCCCCCGCCCUGCACCUUCGUCAUCAGCUUUGCCUCUCCCGUGUCCGUGUGUAGCUCCAUCCUCGUGCUCGCCUUCUUCAUUGGCGGAAGCUGGGAGCCGAGAGAGUGAGCCGUGCGCAGAUGUGCGGCGGUGGAGGUGGCUUUUGUUUCUCCUCCGCGCCCCCUCCCCCCCCGCCCCGCACAUUGCCUGUCGCUCUUCCCACCUAGGACCCUCAAACUGGUUCCCCCUGUACACAGAACCUGGCGACCACGGAUCAUCCCCUCUCUCUUCCUUCGAUGCGAUCAUAUAACAUUUAGAUUUUGCCAGGCCCCUUUAAAUCAUUGCUUCUUUGAACCCUCCCAACAAUCCUAAAGGGAAAUACUGUUUAUGAACCCGUUUUACUAAUCUGACAAUUAUAGCAUAAAGUUUAAGUAACUUGCUCAACAUCACGGAAUGGAAAAGUUGUCACUGAUUUGAAUCCAGCCAGCCUCUCAAGAGAAAGUGUCGAUGAUCAAGCCUUCCUUUGGCCCAGGUUACAUGAAGGUCAAAUGACAUGAAGAAUGGGAAAGGAUUUUAUGAGUGUUCAAAUGUUGGGGGAGCGUCUUAUCACAGAGGACUUUCUGCAGGAGGACAUCCACACUCCUCCUGUCACUGGAUCAGCCAGGAACAUCACCACACUCAGCCAGCUGCACAAUCUGCCAUAGCUGUGUUCUGAGAACUUCUGUAAACAAAGUAAUAUUAAUUAUGGAGAUGAUGAAAUCACAAUCAAAAUUCCAAACUAAGUUCAUCUGCAACCCACGAUCACACUACAUCUUGGCGGGAAUAUGCUGGUUUGAAGUAGUCAAGGGCUGGAGUUUGAAAGAGGAACAAAUGAAGCCUGACCUUGGGAGGAACUUCCAAAGAUUCUGAGCCAACUCCCAACAGGGAGCUCUCAGGAUUCAGCGAGUGUCCUGAGUGUGCUGUCUGUCUGUGACGCCGGCUAGGCCAAGCCUGAUGGUUCCUCAUGAGAAUGUCCUGGCCUGUGCUGCUGAAGGUGUGGUCCACAGUGGGGUCAGUCUGCUGUUUCCAGUCUCCAAUGCAACUCAUCCAUGAACAUAUGUGCAGAGUUUGUAAACCUUCCAUUUUUCUGUUAUUUCUGUAUGUAUUUAUUGAUUUUUUUGUGUAAAAUGUAAAACAUGGGUUCUGUAUUUUGUGUUUCAUUAUCUUCAUAGUUAAUAUUACUUUAUUUACAAAGGUUUAGGUCUGGGAUGGAUAGAAAAUGAAAACUGUCCCUUCACCGUGGAGUUUGAGAAGCCCCGUGGAGGAUUCAAGUAAUUUAGGCAUUGGAAUCCACCUCCUGUGGUCACUUUCAAGCCUAAAAUCCGCGGAGGAUCUGAACUUGGGCAGGGAAACCUGAGAAUAAACAUGAGGAAUGGAGAAGUCUCUGUACCACGUUUAAUGAGUGGAGCUGAUCGCGUAUGUCCCCAUCCCCAUAUCAUCCAGCACAGUGCAGGUGCCUUUUACAGAAGAUGGAGGUCAGUGAUGUAACGGGGCUUGCCUGAAGGCGCUCAGACUGUUCAGCACUCACAUUUCCAUCCAGAGCCCAGUCUAAACUCCCAGUUCAAUCUCCCACCCCAGUCCCUCAUUCCAAAAACACAACAGGAACCAGAACGGGAAUCAAGUCUAAGUGUUUAAUUAUUAUUCACAUAUUUCACAGAAAAAAAGGAAUGUAGCAAAGGGGUCAAGAUUGUAGCAAAAAACAAAAAAUCCUGGAUUUUACGGGUCACUCUAUUUGUACUUGGGAGCA